GCGGUAGUGGCGGAAUGGCAGACGCGCUAGGUUGAGGGCCUAGUGGGGGAUAACCCCGUGGAGGUUCAAGUCCUCUCUACCGCA
rnacentral:tRNA from 2 species